AUGUUUCUGCUUCAUGAAUAUGAUAUUUUUUGGACAUUUCUAAUAAUAGCAAGCCUUAUUCCUAUUUUGGCAUUUUCGAUUUCAGGACUUUUAGCCCCGGUUAGUGAAGGACCAGAGAAGCUUUCUAGUUAUGAAUCGGGUAUAGAACCCAUGGGAGGGGCUUGGGUACAAUUCCGAAUACGCUAUUAUAUGUUUGCGCUCGUUUUUGUUGUUUUUGAUGUGGAAAUCGUCUUUCUAUACCCUUGGGCAAUGAGUUUCGACGUAUUGGGUGUAUCCGUUUUUAUCGAAGCUUUGAUUUUCAUGCUUAUCUUAGUUGUUGGUUUAGUUUAUGCAUGGCGAAAAGGAGCCUUGGAAUGGUCUUAA
rnacentral:rRNA from 1 species